UACAGAGGUGGCAAGCGUUGUUCGGAAUUACUGGGCGUAAAGGGCGCGUAGGCGGUCACGCACGUCCGUUGUGAAAUCGCUCGGCUCAACUGGGCGGGGUCGGCGGAUACGGCGUGGCUGGAGCAAGCUAGGGGGCAAUGGAAUUCCCGGUGUAGUGGUGGAAUGCGUAGAUAUCGGGAGGAACACCAGUGGCGAAGGCGGUUGCCUGGAGCUUUGCUGACGCUGAUGCGCGAAAGCGUGGGGAGCGAUCCGG
rnacentral:rRNA from 1 species